rnacentral:rRNA from 1 species
GAUGAACGCUGGCGGCGUGCCUAAUACAUGCAAGUAGAACGCUGAAGGAGGAGCUUGCUCUUCUGGAUGAGUUGCGAACGGGUGAGUAACGCGUAGGUAACCUGCCUGGUAGCGGGGGAUAACUAUUGGAAACGAUAGCUAAUACCGCAUGACAACAGUUAUUGCAUGAUAACUGUUUAAAAGGGGCAACUGCUCCACUACCAGAUGGACCUGCGCUGUAUUAGCUAGUUGGUGAGGUAACGGCUCACCAAGGCGACGAUACAUAGCCGACCUGAGAGGGUGAUCGGCCACACUGGGACUGAGACACGGCCCAGACUCCUACGGGAGGCAGCAGUAGGGAAUCUUCGGCAAUGGACGGAAGUCUGACCGAGCAACGCCGCGUGAGUGAAGAAGGUUUUCGGAUCGUAAAGCUCUGUUGUAAGAGAAGAACGAGUGUGAGAGUGGAAAGUUCACACUGUGACGGUAUCUUACCAGAAAGGGACGGCUAACUACGUG